AGCAGCCGCGGUAAUUCCAGCUCCAAUAGCGUAUAUUAAAGUUGUUGCAGUUAAAAAGCUCGUAGUUGAAUUUCGGGAUCAGUACGCUGGUCGUGCCUUCGGUAUGUACUGGUGUCACUGAUUCCUCCCUUCUGAUGAACCGUUAUGCCAUUUAUUUGGUGUGGCGGGGAAUCAGGACUUGUUACUUUGAAAAAAUUAGAGUGUUUAAAGCAGGCUCGCGCUUGAAUACAUUAGCAUGGAAUAAUGAAAUAGGACGUUUGAUUCUAUUUUGUUGGUUUCUAGGAUCGACGUAAUGAUUAAUAGGGAUAGUUGGGGGCAUUAGUAUUCAAUUGUCAGAGGUGAAAUUCUUGGAUUUAUUGAAGACUAACUACUGCGAAAGCAUUUGCCAAGGAUGUUUUCAUUAAUCAAGAACGAAAGUUAGGGGAUCGAAGACGAUCAGAUACCGUCGUA
rnacentral:rRNA from 1 species